AUAACAUAAAAUAUAGAAUGACAGCCUAGGCUAAAGUCAACAAUUUUAAACUGGAAAGAAUAAAGGUAAGUCUAUCUUGUAGGUGUUCAUGUUACAGAAUCUCGAUCUCCACUAGGGGUGAACGGAGUAAUUCAGGAGACAUCCCAGACUUGGCUUGUGGACGGUGACGACUGUGCCUCAGGUAAGCUCAAUUCCUGCAUCAACUUCGCG